CAAUAGCGUAUAUUAAAGUUGUUACAGUUAGAACGCUCGUAGUCGGAUUUCGGGGCGGGCCGACCGGUCUGCCGAUGGGUAUGCACUGGUCGGCGCGUCCUUCCUUCCGGAGACCGUCCCUACUCUUAACUGAGCGGGGGCGGGAGACGGGACUUUUACUUUGAAAAAAUCAGAGUGUUUCAAGCAGGCAGCUCGCUCUUGCAUGGAUUAGCAUGGGAUAAUGAAAUAGGACUUUGGUGCUAUUUUGUUGGUUUCGAACACCGAAGUAAUGAUGAGAAGGGACAGUCAGGGGCACUCGUAUUCCGCCGAGAGAGGUGAAAUUCUCAGACCAGCGGAAGACGAACCACUGCGAAAGCAUUUGCCAGGGAUGUUUUCACUGA
rnacentral:rRNA from 1 species